rnacentral:rRNA from 1 species
UACUCGAGUGGCGAACGGGUGAGUAACACGUGGGUGAUCUGCCUUGCACUCUGGGAUAAGCUUGGGAAACUGGGUCUAAUACCGGAUGGGAACCGUCUUUAGUGUGGUGGUUGGAAAGUUUUUUCGGUGCAAGAUGAGCUCGCGGCCUAUCAGCUUGUUGGUGGGGUAAUGGCCUACCAAGGCGUCGACGGGUAGCCGGCCUGAGAGGGUGUACGGCCACAUUGGGACUGAGAUACGGCCCAG